GGCUAACUACGUGCCAGCAGCCGCGGUGAUACGUAGGGUGCGAGCGUUGUCCGGAUUUAUUGGGCGUAAAGAGCUUGUAGGCGGUUGGUUGCGUCGAAAGUGCAAACUCAGGGCUUAACCCUGAGCCUGCUUUCGAUACGGGCUGACUGGAGGAAGGUAGGGGAGAAUGGAAUUCCCGGUGGAGCGGUGGAAUGCGCAGAUAUCGGGAGGAACACCAGUGGCGAAGGCGGUUCUCUGGACCUUUCCUGACGCUGAGAAGCGAAAGCGUGGGGAGCAAACAGGCUUAGAUACCCUGGUAGUCCACGCUGUAAACGGUGGGUACUAGGUGUGGGGGACAUUCCACGUUCUCUGUGCCGUAGCUAACGCAUUAAGUACCCCGCCUGGGGAGUACGGCCGCAAGGCUAAAACUCAAAGGAAUUGACGGGGCCCCGCACAAGCGGCGGAGCAUGCGGAUUAAUUCGAUGCAACGCGAAGAACCUUACCUGGGUUUGACAUAUAUCGGAAACGUUCAGAGAUGGGCGCCCCGUAAGGUCGGUAUACAGGUGGUGCAUGGCUGUCGUCAGCUCGUGUCGUGAGAUGUUGGGUUAAGUCCCGCAACGAGCGCAACCCUCGUCCAAUGUUGCCAGCGGGUUAUGCCGGGGACUCAUUGGAGACCGCCGGGGUCAACUCGGAGGAAGGUGGGGAUGACGUCAAGUCAUCAUGCCCCUUAUGUCCAGGGCUUCACGCAUGCUACAAUGGCCGGUACAAAGAGUUGCGAGCCUGUGAGGGUGAGCGAAUCUCAAAAAGCCGGUCUCAGUUCGGAUUGGGGUCUGCAACUCGACCCCAUGAAGUCGGAGUCGCUAGUAAUCGCAGAUCAGCAACGCUGCGGUGAAUACGUUCCCGGGGCUUGUACACACCGCCCGU
rnacentral:rRNA from 1 species